AUUGAACGCUGGCGGCAGGCUUAACACAUGCAAGUCGAGCGGAGAUGAGGUGCUUGCACCUUAUCUUAGCGGCGGACGGGUGAGUAAUGCUUAGGAAUCUGCCUAUUAGUGGGGGACAACAUUCCGAAAGGAAUGCUAAUACCGCAUACGUCCUACGGGAGAAAGCAGGGGAUCUUCGGACCUCGCGCUAAUAGAUGAGCCUAAGUCGGAUUAGCUAGUUGGUGGGGUAAAGGCCUACCAAGGCGACGAUCUGUAGCGGGUCUGAGAGGAUGAUCCGCCACACGGGGACUGAGACACGGCCCAGACUCCUACGGGAGGCAGCAGUGGGGAAUAUUGGACAAUGGGGGGAACCCUGAUCCAGCCAUGCCGCGUGUGUGAAGAAGGCCUUAUGGUUGUAAAGCACUUUAAGCGAGGAGGAGGCUACUGAGACUAAUACUCUUGGGUAGUGGACGUUACUCGCAGAAUAAGCACCGGCUAACUCUGUGCCAGCAGCCGCCGUAACAC
rnacentral:rRNA from 1 species